GUGCUUGCUUGGCAUCACAUAUACUAAAUUGGAACAAUGCCGAGAAGAUUAGCAUGGCCCCCGAGCAAGGAUAACACCCCAAUUGGUGAAGCAUUCCAUAUUUUU